AAAGAACUUAGAUAAAUUUUACGAAUUUCUUGUAGUAUAAGUAAAUCUGUGCUUUUUUAUUUAGGUUUAACAGUUUGAAGUGUUAAAAUUUUUAAAGAAUGGCACCGCCAAGAAGCGGCAAUCAGAAUGGCAGAGGUGGUAACAAUCGCAGCGGAGGGGGUGGCGGUUAUGGAAAUUCUAGAAAUAGGGAUUAUGAUGGCGGACGUUCAGGUCCUAGCCAUAGUAGAGGACGAAAUCAAAUUCAUUCUGGACGCGUAGAACGUCGGAGCAAUUUUGGAGGUGGCGGCGGUAUGGGACGAGACAAUCGAAACAGGGUUAGCGGAAAAAUUGGCAGUGGAGGAAGUAGUGGUGGCGGAAAUUCUGAUGAUUUCUCUAAAUUACGAGACGUCACUUGGUCCGAUAUGCGCUUGCCACCUUUUCAGAAAAAUUUUUAUCAGGAGCAUCCUAAGACUCGCAAUCGGCCUCAUCAUGAGGUUGAACGUUAUCGGGCUGCUCAUCAAAUUACUCUAAAAGGCCAAGCCCCUAAUCCUAUACAAUAUUUUGAUGAGGCUUGCUUCCCAGAUUAUUGCUUAAAUGAGAUACGUCGCCAACGUUAUAAUGAACCUACGCCGAUCCAAGCGCAGGCUUGGCCAAUCGCUAUGAGUGGUUCAAAUCUCGUCGGCAUUGCCAAAACUGGGUCGGGAAAAACGCUAGCUUUUAUUUUACCUGCUAUUGUGCACAUUAAUCAUCAGCCACCUUUACAGAGGGGAGAUGGUCCCAUUGCUUUGGUAUUGGCUCCAACACGUGAACUAGCCCAACAAAUACAAUCGGUGGCUAAUGACUUCGGAUCCAGCGCUUACGUGCGUAAUACUUGUAUUUUUGGAGGAGCUCCAAAAACUAGGCAAACCCAAGAUUUAGAACGCGGCGUUGAACUUGUAAUAGCGACCCCAGGACGAUUAUUGGAUUUCCUUUCCAAUGGCAUCACAAACAUGCAGCGUUGCACUUAUCUUGUCCUUGACGAAGCCGAUCGUAUGCUGGAUAUGGGCUUUGAGCCUCAAAUUCGAAAAAUUCUCAACCAGAUUAGACCAGAUCGACAAAUCCUUAUGUGGAGUGCUACCUGGCCUCGCGAAGUGCGUCAGCUGGCCGAAGAUUUUUUGGGCAAUAACUACAUACAAGUUAAUAUUGGCUCAUUGGAGUUAUCCGCCAAUCAUAAUAUACGUCAAUACGUUGACGUGUGCCAAGAAGCGGAUAAAGGAUCCAAACUCAAAGACCUAUUGUCAUUUAUUUACGAUCAGUCACCACAUCCAGGCAAAAUCAUUAUUUUUGUUGCCACCAAAAAAAAAGUAGACGAGUUGUCUCGUUUCAUAAAUGGUUUUGGUGUUCGUGUGGGCUCUAUACAUGGUGAUAAAUCUCAACUGGAUCGCGACAAUGUACUAUCCGACUUUCGCAAUGGCCGUGCCAAUAUUUUGGUAGCCACUGAUGUGGCUGCACGUGGUCUCGAUGUAGAUGGCAUAAAAUAUGUUAUAAAUUUUGAUUUCCCGCAAUCUUCCGAAGAUUAUAUUCAUCGCAUUGGACGCACGGGUCGUAAACAUUCCACUGGAACUUCGUAUGCUUUUUUCACGCGGAAGAACGCUAAAUGUGCCCGCGCCCUCGUGGAUAUAUUACGUGAGGCUAAUCAAAAUGUGAAUCCCGAUUUAGAGUACAUAGCACGUAACGCUGCUACUAUUAGCAGCAAGGAAAAGGAGCGUGACCGUGCCAACCGGGACAGUGGUUUAGGAGGUUCAAAUCGUAGAAACGGUGGUAACAGUAAUAAUUAUUCUUCCAAUAACGGCUACAGCGGUGGUAAUCGUUUUGGCGGUGGUGGCGGUGGUGGCGGUGGUGGUGGCGUCGGCAGCAAUUCGGGCUAUGGGAAUAAUGCUGGUUACUCAAAUGGUUCCGGAAGAUCACGCAAUUACUCUAAUUCCAGACAUUAAAAACAUCCUUUUACUCUCUUUCUCUGUCUCUCUCUCUCGCACUGAAUCAUUUUGAAUUAGAAGCUGUGCAGUAAUCAACAAUUGAAAAAUCGUACUCAAGCUCUAUAUGUAUUUUCUUACGUCUCUACAAUCUAUGAUCGUAGAAGCGAAGAGAUAUGUUACAACUAAAAUGAAAUGUGAAUUCUUUUUCAUAUACACUCAUAAAUACUCUAUGCAGCAUUUAACGAUAAUUAGCCUAUUGGAAGGAAAACCAAUACAGCGAAACGUUCGAUCUAACCAAAUAACAUGGAUACCUAUUAUUCGAAGAUAUUUAAUUGAUUACUUUAACAAACGUACGUGCGUUCAUAACGCAGUCAAUCUAUAUAUAUGCCAAAUGUUGGGAUGUAGCUUUUUUUCUUGAGCAAGCAAGGAAAAGAAAAAAAUCGAUUAACUAAAAUGCCAAAACCUACUUUUUUGGGACCAUAACUGAUUUGUUGGCGCGAUGUUAUCUGGUAAACAUAAAAUUUCACUACAGUUACUGUAGCUUGUCAAGUUGGCAAUUAUAAAAUUUGUUUUGCACUUUCGUUAAUAUUUUAAGCUAGUUUUAUAACUUCUCGGUUAUUGCGAUCGCGUUUUCGUAUAUAUAUAUAUAUUUUUAUAGUGAAAACAGUUGAUAGU